rnacentral:rRNA from 1 species
GACGAACGCUGGCGGCGUGCUUAACACAUGCAAGUCGAGCGGAACGGCGCUUCGGGUGGCGCGCGCGGCAGACGGGCGAAUAACACGUGAGUAACAGGCAGGGGACAUUGGUAGAACCGAAGGAUACGGGGGCUAAUAAUGAAUACAGCGCAGCUUCGCAUUAUGACAGCGUUUUGCGCUGUGGGGGGGGCUUUGGGCCCGCUAGCUAGUUGGUGGGGUAACGGGCUACCCAGGCGCAGACCGGUGGCCGGCCGGGGGGGGCGAACGGCCACCCGGGGACCGGGGCACCGCCCCGACUCCUUCGGGAGGGAGCAGUGGGGAAUAUUGCGACAUGGGCGGAAGCCUGAUGUAGCGAAGCCGUGUGUGGGAUGACGGCCUUCGGGUUGUAUACAUCUUUCAGCAGGGACGAAGAGUAAGUGACGGUACCUGCAGAAGAAGCGCCGGCUAACUACGUG